rnacentral:rRNA from 1 species
UUGAACGCUGGCGGCAGGCCUAACACAUGCAAGUCGAGCGGAUGAAGAGAGCUUGCUCUCUGAUUCAGCGGCGGACGGGUGAGUAAUGCCUAGGAAUCUGCCUGGUAGUGGGGGACAACGUCUCGAAAGGGACGCUAAUACCGCAUACGUCCUACGGGAGAAAGCAGGGGACCUUCGGGCCUUGCGCUAUCAGAUGAGCCUAGGUCGGAUUAGCUAGUUGGUGAGGUAAUGGCUCACCAAGGCGACGAUCCGUAACUG